CAGAACAGACUUGUAAAAGCACAGGAGUGUCACUCAGACUGUAGGGACAUGUUGGGAGUACAGUUUCUCUCUUUCACUCAUCACUGAGCACACAUCAGUACUCGAUUUUAACUAGAAUGAGUCAUGCAAUGGUGGAUGGUUGCUUCUAUCUCACACACUGUUGAAACUAGAUAUGCUGUAUGAGAAGAUACUUUUUUCCUUCAGCCUAUCAAAAAAAUCGGACUAAUUUUCAAGUCAUACAGUAGGUACAUCUUCAACUGGCAUCACCAAGCAGCCAACCAGUUUUUUUUUUUUUUUGUCCAGAUUGCAGUCAUUAUUCUAGGAUUAUCAAAAUUAUUUCUAUUUGCUAAAUGUCAAAAUAAUGAGUGAAGGCAAUUUUUCAUUAAUUUCUUCAAAGUCAGAGUUUUCUGUACAUUAAGAUUACUGUACAAUUUGGGGAAACCCCAUCCAUCCAUUUUCUGAGCCACUUAACCUCACAAGGGUUGCGGAAGUGCUGUAGCCAAUCCCAGCUAUCUUUGAGCAGGAGGGCUGGGUAUACCCUAAAUUUGUUGCCAGCCAAUCGCGGUGAACAUAUAAACAACCAAUCCUUUGCACUCACAUUUAUACAAAUUUGGGGAAAAGAAACAGGUGUCAUUUUCUUGACUCCUUCUGAUUAGUAAAAAUAUUUGCGUUAGAGACAAACCUUUGGAUGUAUUUGAACAAACAACCACACACGCGAGGCACACUGCUUCUUUGGGUAACAUGGAAAAAUAAACAAAAUAAAAAAAUCUGCCAAGCUAUCAGGAAGAGAGUUUUGGACUUAAGAAGUCUGGUUUAUCCCUGUAUGCAAUUGACCCCUCUGUGGAAAUUGCGUCAUCCGUGUCGCUGACUAAUCAGAGGUCAGAGAUCUGCAUAAACCAUGACCCUUGUUGUCGUCUGCUAUUACCUCAGACAACGUUGCAUGGUCCAGUAUAGCUUUUGUUAGUGUUUUAUCGCGUAUUUGGGUUCUUUAACAAUAGAUAUGGUUAAGAGGUGUAGUCACGGACUUUGUAAUAGUGACGACAGGUAUCCUGAAAGGCUAGUUGGUGGAGUUCAAUUCGUACCUUUCCAAAACCGAAGACCCAGUAUGAAAAAUGUCUUCGAUGGAUCAAACUUUGUGGAAGACUGCAUGAUCAAUGGAAUCCAUCUAAAAUCAACCGGAACAGAAGACCGAGUACGAAAAAUGUCUUUGAUGGAUCAAACUUUGUGGAAGAUCGUAUGAUCAACUGAAUCCAUCUAAAAUCAACCGGAACAGAUAUGUUUGCACGAAGGUAAGCCCUAUAUUUGAUUUUCAAUACAUGUCUCAUAUAAAUGAAUUAGCAGUUCUUCGCUUGCAUAACAUAGCUACGUGUGAAUGAUUGACACACUUGAUCUGUGUUGAGCGAUAUUUUUUUACAUUUUCGCUCUAGUCUUUUUUUCCUGCGCUGCCAUUUUUGCUAAUUGUUUGUCUGAGGUUAGCACACGUGGGGUGACGUAACUUCAGGAGGCGUGGUUAAGUGCCCUGUAUGGAGGGGUCAAUUCCUAGAUCGCUGAAGGUGCAACAUUCAUCUCUUUAAGCAAUUACAGUGCAGAAAAUCAUUUCUCAAAUAAUUCACAAAUUUUUCCAAAAAUAUUUUCAAAAAAUUAAUAGAGCACGUUAUAUUUAGGUAUGGAUUAAAAAUAAAAUCACAUUGUGUAGUCGAAUACAGGUACAUAGCGUGGUAAAAAAUUCAUACAUAUAUAUUUCGAUAUGAUAUUCGAUGUCUUAUGGUACACAUUUAUAUUUAUUAGGGUAAUGUGCGCCCCAAACCUGAGCUCUCUGCGCUCCUCAGGAAGCUUGCAUUUUAUGAUCUUUAGCGUAGCAUGCUUGUUGCUACUGCACCAAAGAUCAGAAACAACUGCCUGCCGAUGAUGGCGCAAACCCGGAAGUAGCGCGGAAGUCCAAAACAACAAUACCUCGCCUCAGUGGCUUCAGUUACAGAAUGGAGCCGAUUGGAGGGGGAGAGGCUGCGCUGUGCAACCCAAACUCUUGGGAUUAAAAAAAAUCUUUCCUCACAAAACGUCGUGGAUGGCAAAGCGAAUGACAUGCGGUGGGAGCAAGAUGGGAUGUUCAUGAUGCAAUGCAAGAGGCACCGGAACUGCACCAAGUCAUCAAUGAUGAGUUCCACAGCAAUGCACCAAAGGGACCAGGACAAGCAUGUCCUGUGGCUAGUCCCGAGAUAUACAUGGUGACCCAAAAAGAUACGUACCCAUGAAAAUUUCAAUUGUGGCUUUGAUUACAACGCUAUUUAUUUCAAAUUACAACCACACAUUAUUCAGUUUAUGGAAGACCAUUCACCAGAGUUUCAGCUAUUUGUCAAUUUUUAGUCAAUUUAUGGCUUUCCCAAGAUGUGUUCCAAAUGUCCACCAUUUCGUUGCAAUCAAACCUGUACUCGUCUGGCAAAGUUUUGAAUCACUUUUAUACACUCCUUUCGCAACUAAAAAUCGUUGAUUUUGAUGGAAAGUUGCGACAAUGGAAACGCUUUCGAAACUGAAUCUGUACACUCUGGUAUGAUUUUGUCGCAAAAUAGGUCUCCAGGGAGAAUAUCUUCUGCUGAUUUGUCCAAGACAUUUUCGGGGCAACUAUAGCUGCAAAUGAUCAUCCAUAGGUUCACCUUUCACGUCCUGCAACAGAAAAGACAUUCGUUAAAAAAUUGAUUUUUUAUCGAAUAAAGUAUGGGUACGCAUCUUCGAGAAAUUACAGUAAGUAUUUAAACACCCUGCUAUAUCGCAAGUUCUCCCACUUAGAAAUCAUGGAGGGGUCUGAAAAUUUCAUCGUAGGUGGAUGUGCAAUGUAAAAAAAAUUAAAUAAAAUCCAGAAAUCAAAAUGUAGGAUUUUUUUUUAACGAUUUAUUCGUGUGAUAGAGAUGCAAAUAGGUAUUUCAACCCUUGUCUAGCAGUUAUAAUUCUGACCCUCAAAGACCUGUUAGUCCACAUUUAAAAGUCCACCUCCACUCAUGUAUUAUCCUGAAUCAGAUUCACCUGUAUGAGGUCGUUAGCUGCAUAAAGACAGCUGUCAACCCUAUACAAUCUGUAACACUCAAACCUUUAACAUGGACCAAGACCAAAGAACUCUCCAAAGACACCAGAGACAAAAUUGUACAACUCCACACGGCUGGAAAGGGCUACGGAGAAAUUGCCAAGCAGCUUGGUGAAAAAAGAUCCACUUUUGGAGGAAUCAUUAGAAAAUGGAAGAACCUAAACAAUCAGUCUCAAUCGGAGUGGAGCCCCAUGCAAGAUAUCACCUGGUGGGGUCUCAAUGAUUCUUGGAAAAGUGAGGAAUCAGCCCAGUACUACGCGACAGGACCUGGUCAAUGACCUGAAAAGAGCUGGGACCACAGUUUCCUGGGUGACUGUUAGUAAUACACUAAGACGUCAUGGUUUGAAAUCAUGCAUGGCAUGGAAGGUUCCCCUGCUUAAACCAGGACAUGUCAAAAGCCCGUCUUAAGUUUGCCAAUGACCAUUUGGAUGAAACAGAGAAGUCAUGGGAGAACGUUUGUGGUCAGAUGAGACCAAAAUGGAACUUUUUGGUCAUAAUUCCACGAACCGUGUUUGGAGGAAGACGCAUGAUGAGUUCCAUUGCAAGAACACCAUCCCUACUGUGAAGCAUGGGGGUGGUAGCAUCAUGCUCUGGGGGUGUUUUUCUGCACAUGGGACAGGGCGACUGCACUGCAUUAAGGAAAGGGUGACUGCGGCCAUGUAUUGUGAGAUUUUGGGGAACAACCUCUUUCCCUCAGUCAGAGCGUUGAAGUUGGGUCGUGGCUGGGUCUUUCAACAUAACAAUGACUCGAAGCACACAGCAAGAAAAACCAAGGAGUGGCUCGUAAGACGCAUAUCACACAAAUAAAUUGUUGAAAAAUAAUAUAUUGUGAUUUCUGGAUUUUUCUUUUUAGAUUAACUCUCCCACAGUAGACAUGCACCUACAAUGAAAAUUUCAGACCCCUCCAUGAUUUCUAAGUUGGAGAACUUGCAAUCUAGCAGGGUGUUCAAAUACUUAUGUUCUUCACUGUACAUGCAAGUGUCAAGACCAUGGAAAUGUCCAACAAUCAUACUGCUCAGGAAGGAGACUGGUUCUUUGCCCUACAUAUUGAAAUACUUUGAUAUGAAAUCUGCAUAUCAGCCUAAGAACAAAAGUAAAACACCUUUUGAAGAUGUCGUCUGAAGCUGGUGAGUACGUCAUCCACAGUAAAACAAGCAUUGUACCAAUAUGGGUGGGUAGGCCGCUCUGCCAGGAAGAAGCCAUUACUCCAAAACAAAUAAAAAAGCAAGAUUACAAAUGCUCACAUGGACAAAGAUCUUAAUUUUUUGAGUCAUGUCCCGUGGUCUGACCAAACUAAAAUUAAAGUUUGGCCAAAAUGAGGAUGUGUAUAUUUGAAGGAGAAAGCGGGAAACCCACAAGCCUGACUGAGAUGACCAGCUUUCUAACUUUGAAAGAGUGUGUGAGAGCACAAUUUUGUUGGGUUGUUUCGCAUAGGAGGGACUGGUGCACUUCACAAAAUAGAUUCCAUCCUGAGAAAAGAACAUUAUGUGGAAAUACUUAAUAUCUUAAGUCAUCAUUCAGGAUGUUAAAGGUUGGGCACAAAUGGAUCUUCCUGAUGGACAAUGACCAGAAAAGCAUACUGACAAACUUGAAUCAGUUACACUUCUGUCAGGGCUAAUGGGCCACAAUUCCUGCCAAUUAUUGUGGGAACCUUGUGGAAGGAUAUCCAAAAUGUUUGCCUGAAGUCAGAAAGUUUCAAGACAUUAGUACAAAAUACCGAUUAAAACAUGAUUUUGAAGAAAAUAAUCCGAAAUUUUCUUGAAAAACAUUCUUCGGUUAUGUUUUUGGUCAAACAUAUUGGAAUCCCAUUUCAACUUAAGUAGGAAAUGUUGAGUCGGUUGGAAAAUUCUUAUAUAUACAAGUGCAAAGAUACAGAGGAUUUACAGCAUUCUUAUACUAUCACAAGGAUCAUCACAAAAGUAUGAAAGGAAAAUAAAGAGCAUCACAAAAUAUCUGUAUCAUAAUGACAAAACCAAUUCUAGCUGGUAGUAACUAGCACAUUCCUACAUUCUGGUCUCGAGUAAACAGUUCAGCAAAGUUAACUUAAGGGUAACUGAUGAGUUGGCAUGCUUCAAACAUCUGAUUACAAUCCAGUUUAUAACUUAUCGUAUGAGCGAGUUAUACAGUCAUGACUAAAUAUGAGCAGA